GGGUACCGCGGAGGUGGCUGCAUGCCGGUACCUGCGGCUGAGCUGGGAUCCGAGUUCGGCCGCUUUUCCCUGAAACCGUCGGUCCGAGCCAGAAGACUUCACACACAGUCCAAUUGGUCCUAGCAAGCCUUCAGCCCCUGAACAGUGGUGGCGACCAGCUGCUAGAUCCUAUUGACGUUCUCUCUCAGGAAAACAUGAAGAAUGGGGAAAGUAGCUGCCGCAUGCCAAUGUGAAACUCCGAGGACUCUAGCCAUUCUGAUCUGGCCUUCCAGGUCAUUAGGAGGCUCUGCCAUCAUGUGAGGAGGUGCUUGGCUUGCUAGACCUAGGGUCAUUCUCACAUCACCUUUUCAGCUGGGGAAACUGAAAGUCCCAAGGUCAUGCAGCUGGGAAUAUAUGACCAAACGGCCUUCACCUUCCCCUAAAUGAGAAAAUGAUCUGGACCAGAGGGAAUGAAUCUGGACCAGACCUCGACACUGCCCCAAUUAAAGAACUUGAGAACACUGGUCCCAUCUUCCCCUCUAAUGUCCCCUCUUCCCAUCGCCUCUCCCGGUGCCCUGGGCUCCACUUACAGGCCCCUGAGCAACCACUGCAUUUUCGCACAUGCUGCUUCCACCUAGGAUGGAUGCCUUUUCCCUCCUUUCUUCACCCCACCAGCUUUCUCCUUCGGGUGCCAGCUUAGUCCUUGGCUCCUUGCGUCCCUCCCACUUGUCCCC